rnacentral:misc_RNA from 1 species
AAGUCGUAACAAGGUUUCCGUAGGUGAACCUGCGGAAGGAUCAUUAGUGAAAUAUAGCGUACCUGUUUAACCAGGACGUGACCCUCUCACUUUUCAAACUCUGUGCAUUAUUUUGGCAAGUUGGAAGUUCGCUUCUAACUUGCGGCUCAUUAUUUAUAAACACUUAGUCAUUGUAUGUUAAAGAAAUUUUAUAACAAUAAAAAACUUUCAACAACGGAUCUCUUGGCUCUC